rnacentral:rRNA from 1 species
AGAGUUUGAUCCUGGCUCAGGAUGAACGCUAGCGGCAGGCUUAAUACAUGCAAGUCGAGGGGCAUCUUUAACUUCGGUUAAAAGCGACCGGCGAACGGGUGCGUAACACGUAUGCAAUCUACCAUUAACCGGGGAAUAGCCCAGAGAAAUCUGGAUUAAUACCCCAUAACAUUAUGAUGAGGCAUCUCAUUAUAAUUAAAGUUCCGGCGGUUAUUGAUGAGCAUGCGUCCCAUUAGCUUGUUGGUAAGGUAACGGCUUACCAAAGCAACGAUGGGUAGCUGGUCUGAGAGGAUGAUCAGCCACACGGGCACUGAGAUACGGGCCCGACUCCUACGGGAGGCAGCAGUAGGGAAUAUUGGGCAAUGGACGAAAGUCUGACCCAGCCAUGCCGCGUGCAGGAUGAAUGCCCUAUGGGUUGUAAACUGCUUUUUUCAGGGAAGAAAUCUUCCGAUUCAUCGGAAGUUGACGGUACCUGAGGAAUAAGCACCGCUAACU